rnacentral:rRNA from 1 species
AUUGAACGCUGGCGGCAGGCCUAACACAUGCAAGUCGAGCGGAGCGGCGGACGGGUGAGUAAUGCCUAGGAAUCUGCCUGGUAGUGGGGGAUAACGUCCGGAAACGGGCGCUAAUACCGCAUACUAUCAGAUGAGCCUAGGUCGGAUUAGCUAGGUGGUGGGGUAAAGGCCUACCAAGGCGACGGUCCGUAACUGGUCUGAGAGGAUGAUCAGUCACACUUGAACCGGAACCCGGCCCAGGAUCCUACGGGAGGCAGCAGGGGGGAAUAUUGGACAAUGGGCCAAAGCCCGAUCCAGCCAUGCCGCGGGUGUGAAGAAGGUCUUCGGGUUGUAAAGCACUUUAAGUUGGGAGGCGUUACCCGCAGAAGAAGCACCGGCUAACUCCGUGCCAGCAGCCGCGGUAAUAC